rnacentral:lncRNA from 12 species
CUCUUUUCAGAACUCCACAGCCCUUCGCAGAGCUUUCCUUUGGGAAUUGUUACAUAAGUGCCAUUUGAGCCUGUACAUUCCCCCCCACCCCGAGAUUUUCACAUCCAUCCAUCACAUCCACGUUUGCUAUCCUAGGCUCUCUGCGCCUUCAGCCGGCCUGCGGGCCGCACCUCGCCAGCAGAGGCCGCUCUCAGAGGCGGGGGGGUGGGGGGGUGGGGGGGUGGGGGGCCACCCUGGGGAUGCUCAGGCUUUGGAAAUCCAGGGGGUUCUCAGAGCUUAUUUUGUCCAUGGAGGCCUGGUCCCUGGUCCCCGGCUUUCCCAUCUCCAGAAAUUGGACCUCCUGUAACUCCAACCCGGUUGCACGGAGGCGCGCCUGCCGUCGACGCAUGUAGCUGGCUGGUGCGGCUCUUCAUUGAAACGGAGCACCUGCCCGGUUUUGUGCCUUUGCAUAAUGAGGACACGUAGCAUAUUCGAAGUGGAGGUGGCCUGAUUCUCUGCCCCUGGGGCUAAUGCGGCUGUUUAUACGGAGGAGCCAAGGCCGAUCCUUCACCGGAAGGUGCGCUGUCCUGCAGGCUGAAGCAUUCACACCGGCCCUGCUGCUGAUUUGAAACCAUGUUCAGCAGUAACCACCGGCUAAGGCUCUGGAAGACAAACUCCUCCUAGUAGCGUGUCUCAUCCUACGUGUAGGACGGAGGCCACAGGAGCAGAGAUGUGCUUCUUGCCCCAGUUGCUCCUUUGGGCACAAGGAUGGAUGGCCUCUGCGAGUUACAUCCUGAUGACCUAGGGGUGUUACAGUCACGAUGGCACCAUAUGCAUCGCUGUGAACUAACGAGGACAGAGCAAAGGCUGGCCCAGGGAUGCCCCCUUAGCAGAGAGUGCAAGAUUCUCAAAGAAGACAAGGCCCUAGAGGAGAGGCCGUGGGAAAUGCUUGCAGAGGCAAGAAAUUGUCCUUCCUGGGAACUGUCAAGAGAUCUCAAAGCAGGGAAACCCUCCAGACUGGUCAAUCCUGCCUUCUCAAUAAACAUAUCAAGUAGGUUUCUUGGAGUAAGACCAGGCAUUGAAAGAGAGAAAGAGAGAGAAGAUCCAAAGUCAAAACCAAUUUGAAUAGGUUGCAUGCUGUGAAUCUCCCUGACUGUUCCCGUGACAGGUGACAGCCGGGUAAGCUGCAGGAACCCCUUUAGGGGACCACCUCUCUGGUCCUGGGUGUGGGAACUCUGGUCUCAUCAGCCUCGGGUCAUCAGCUCACUGGUUGCUGGGAGGGGCUCAACAGGGCACGCCGGGUCCUGGCCUUUGUUUUCCCCUCUGGAUAAUGGGGCUGGUCUUCGUGGUGCUCAAAUGGAACCAGAGAGCCUGGAGCAGAGCCCUUAAUGAGGGCCGCUGGAUGAUGAAAGAGCCCUGAAGCUCCAGCCACCAUCCCUGCGCUUUGGAAUAAAUGCGGCCAGCUUGGGGGACGCGCA